UCUUCCCUUCCAUCCUCUUCCUCUUCUUCCCAGUCCUCCACUCCACUCCCUCCACCCUUGCCUACAAAGCCUGUCAAAGUGAAUCCUCCCACCUCUCCACUGUAGGGGUGUGUGUGGGUUUUGUGGGAUAUAAACCAGUUAGCACGUGCAAAAGAGUAUGGGGGAUGGGGGGUGGGAAGCUGCCUGGGAGCCCUGAAAAUAGGUACAGAGAGGACCAGGAGCCAUAAGACUGGAUCCGGAGCUGGCAAUCCUGAGGCUAAGGGAGAGAGAAAAUUGGGGUUCUGAGCAGGAGGCAGGAAUGAACCCAGACCUCAGGCCCUCCAGUGCCACCUGCUUCUUCUUUGCACAGCUGCCCAGGAAACUUCAUCUCCCCAAUUUUCGACUUUGGGAUGGGACAGAGUGAAGUUUACCUCAAUCUCCCCUCCCUCCUAAACUUUCUUAGACUUUCACCAGCAAGCUUUGGAACUUGGUUUUCCAAGCUCAAGUCUGGAGCUUGAACCCACCCCGCUGACAGGCCCCGCAAACCCUCUAUGGAAGUUCGGCGGCCUUGAUGGCCAAGUUGCCUGGUAGUCUGAAUGGAAGUUCCUUCCUUACCUUUGCCUGGAAUAGAGGGUGGAGUGGUUCCCAAAAUUGACGCAGGAGUGAGGCGGCCAGGGCCCGAAUCCUGACACUACCACUUACCAGCCGUGUGUGACCUUGGACAAGUCACUUAGGCUCUCUGUGCUCUGAGAGGAUAAACUGAGAUGAAAAUGACUGGAACACAAAAGUUUCUAUUUUUCAUCUGCUCUCUGGAUCUUGUGCACUGGAUACCUGAGGAGGAGACUGGCUCUUGGAGUCACAUCCUCCUCCAGCCUUUGCCUCAGCUGCUGUGGGUCAAGAGCAUCCUGUACGUGUCACUCCCCUGUCAACUGCCUCCGCCAGGCUCCACCAGGCUGUCAUGGUACCCAGUACAGGUACAACAUCAUAAGGCCAGCUCUCAGGAAUUCCACACUCAACCCUUUGUACUUCAGACGGGGAGUGUUUCGGUGGAAAGCGCUCUAACAGUCCUGCGCAGUAAGACCUCGGACAGUCCCUCCCCUUCUGUUCAACUGCAAGCUAAAAAGUUUGGCUGGGAUGGUCCCUGGCAUUCUCAGACUCAUGACUGAUGGUUUGGGGCUGUCACGAGGCUCCAGAAACCCCUUCGAGGCCUGAACCACCGAUAAAAAGGGCAAGAGAAUUCUGGGUACACUUAGAUACUCAGGCUAGUGCCCUCAAACGUCUGGGGAGGUGGGGAAAUAAGGAAAUGUACCCCGGAGCCGGAGGGUUGAUUACAGAUGAGGGGGAAGGUGGGAAAGAGAGCAUUGUGUCCAGCCCCCUGCUUCCUUGCCGGUUCUCCUUCCCAUUUGGAAAAACAUCCUCUGGACCCGGAAGGGGAGGACGACGUAGCUCGAGGCCUUGGGUUCCCUCUUCCAUCGGCCCCCUCUGGCCGCCGCGCUCACCACGCAUUUCUGACGCGCAUCCCCAACCCUAGGCGGGGCGCUCCCUCCAACCCUCACUCCGCCCCAGUAUUGCGCAGGCGCAGGUCCGGGCUGAAGCCAGUAGAUGCGCCCUCUCGUGGCUGACUGACGUAUCGCACCCUUUGUUGUUGAGUGGGGGCGGUGAGGAGCGUGAGGGAGAAAGAUGUGGGUGGAGUCUGCGAGGCAGAUGCUACAAUCAAAUCACCAUGAUGAAAAUCCUUUUUCUUUGUCCCUCAUGACAACAUAUAAUCCCUCGUUUUAGAUGUAGAUGAAGAAAAAAUAUGGCUCUCAGAAAUCAGGAGACAGGUUCAAAAAGACAAAAGUGGAAUGAGACAGUUGGGGAGAUGAUACAUUCAUUCAAUCAUUCAUUCAUUCAGAAAACAUUCACUUAGAUGAGGAGAGGCAGAGACAAAGGGCCAGUGGGAUUAAAUUGAGACGCUGACAGGCAGAGAUCGGGCAGAAAGCUGAGACAGGUGCAGAUGGCAAAGCAGCAGAGACAGAGAACCAGCUCCAGAGGGUAACAGGGGUAAAGCAGAGGUUCCAGAACUGGGCUGGGCUUGUGGAGACAGGCUGAGACAGAUGGAGAUCAGAGACCUUACCCAGAUAGAUGCUGCAGAUGGUGAGGACCAAGUCGGAGCUCAGGAGGGGACAACCUGAGUGUCAGGAGAGGCACAAGUCGCAAUGGAUUGAAGCAAUCAAAUAUGUGUAAAAUCAUAAAUUCAUAAUUUUUUUACUAAUUUCUUUUUUUAAAGAAUGCUAACUGGUCACAGUUUAGAGAAUGCUAGGAUAUCAACUCAUUAUUUUGAAAUUGGUAAAUACAGGAACAGAAUCAAGUAUCCU